UGAACCUCCUCCGUCCGUUCAUUCCGUCAAGUUGUUCGCCGUGAAUUUUUUCGCCGUAUCGCCGACCGCGAUCAACGCCCUGGUAUCGCGCUGAUCAUCGUCAUCCGAAGGUCCACCGGAAACCGGGGAUCCACCGCAGCGCGGUGAUUAAUUCCGCGGCUCCAUCAGAUUUUUGCAGGGGGCACCGAACUGCUUGCAAUUUCGCAAGCGUGCUUCGCGGCAUUGUUGGAUGGCCAAAAGGAUGUGUUAACAAGUCGUGGCACGAGCUGGUAGCAAAGCGGUUAUGUUUGCGAUGCAAUCAGAUGGCGGCGCUAAAGAGGAAGAGGCUCCUCGCACCUUCCUGAUAACAAGUCAUGCCGCUAAGUUGGAGCAGCUACACUUUUGCGUGAGAGGCUACCUUCUUCUUCCUCGAAUCGAGAUUGCGAAUCAGCUAUACUUAUAGCAGGUCGCUAAUAUUGGUUGGUGCAUUACAAAUGAGGCAAAAAUGAUGAGCUUUGCAAAUGGAAGCUAGUCAUUUGCAUAGCAGAUAUAUUGCACAGGUUAAAACUUUGCUGAUGAGAUUAUUCAGGGCUUUUGUCUUACGAUACUGUUGCGGUAUUGCGUAUAAUGACUUUCGUGUGAUAACGGUUAUCGCGCAAAAUUUAUUGGAUCUAGUAAAUAGACUUUUUUCUUCAAGGAAGUUCCUUCGAGUAUGUUACAUAAGAAGAAAUAUUAAUGAAAUAGAAAUGGAAAGAAAUUCAAAACCGAGGGAUGGAGCGCUCGCUAUGAAGAGAGCUAUCCAUCGACAGUAUGGUAAUGAUAGACACUGUCAUGGAGUUGCUCUCUUUGUGGACGCCGCUUGAUUCAACGCUUCGACGAAUUUAUGCAUUCUUGCAAGCAUAAUUUACACGGAGG